AUGGGGCUCUGCGCGUCGAUGCUGCAGCGGAGGACGGAGAGGCGGUACCCCGAGCCGAGGCGCGGCACGGCGGAGGCGCUGUUCGUCGUCAGAGGCGACCGCCGGCCGGCGAACCCAGAGGCGCUGGUGGUCCGGGUGCAGGACUCCGGUCGAACACAGCUCCGGAGACAUGGCAGGGAGGAGAGUGGAGGACGCGGGGGGUGCUGGCGACAAGGCACCGACGCGCUGGACUGGAUGAUCGCCCGCGCUCGGAUGCCCCGGCUGCCUUGCGCGGGCACCGGGACCGUCGGGGUCGAGCCGGACGCGGCGUUGCGCACGCGUGAGACGACGGCGGCGGGCCGAGGUGCCCCGCCAGGGCACGGGGUCGAGCCGGAUGCGCCGUUGCUCACGCGCAAGACGACGGCGGCGGCGGGCCGAGGGGCCCCGCCAGGGACGCGCUGGACGCCACCAACGGCCCCGGUGACGCCGACGCCGCCCUCGCCGGCCAUGACGCCCAUGGGCGGGGCGCCGGCGGCACCGAGUACGCCGGCCUCGGCAGCCAUGACGCCGGGCCGGCCGGUGUGGCAGAGGAGGAUACUGAUGGGUAUGCGGUGCGAGCUGCCGCGGUUCAGCGGGCUCGUGCUGUACGACGAGCACGGCCGGCCCAUCCAGGUCGGCACCCCGGGCAGAAGAAACCACCGCCAGGGGAAGAAGAAGACUGCCAGGACAUCUUCCACCACAACUCUCAGGGACCUCCUGUAG
rnacentral:rRNA from 1 species